ensembl:lncRNA
GGAGAUUUUUCGAUGUCUUAAACAUCUUCUGUCAGCAUUCAUCUGUCCAGCGGAUUUCUUUUUCAACGAAACAUGGCCUGUUGGAGGACCAACAGUGAAGGCAACACACCUGUCAUCGCAAAUGACAUGUUGAACCCAGAGCCUACAUGUCAUCAGAUUCCACACCCUGAUAAUCAGGAAGGAGCUGGUGCAUCAAGUGCAAAUAUCAGACGUGCAGCUGCAUUUGCCAUCAAUGUGAGGGAGAGAUGUCACCUGUCUCAGAGGAGCGUCAACAACAUUGUUUCUGAAGUCCAGCAGUAUCAAACUACUCUUCUGGGGCCUCAUUACAGAAACUUCCUAACUCUGAAAUCCUAUCCUAUCUUGAGAUAGGAAGGCAUUUAGGGGUUUUGAUAUUACAGAAGGAGGUUUCCUAACUUAACUUAGGAAGAAAUCCUAUCUUAUUCUAAGAUAGGAAAUUAACCAUUACAGAACUAUCCUAAGUUAGGAAUUUCUUAAGUUAGGCUCCCUAAGUUAGGUGGCCAUACACCCUGUCCUAAGUUCAAAAUAACUGUCAGUAACUGAAAUAACAGAAAAAUGGCAGCAGCACUGCUAGUGGGUCUGCUGUGUGACAAUGAAGACGAGGACGAACAUGACAACAGAAACUUGAUGACUGAAAGGCUACUGAGACCGCAUAAUGACACGUUACAUUUUCCGGACCAUAUUUUAAUAUCCCUUUAUCGCCUGCCAAGACAGUUAAUUUUGAAUUUGGUGGAAGAAUUACGUCCUGCUCUGGAGAGGCCUACAAGGAGACAUGGAGCCUUGCCAGUGGUUGUGCAGAUGGAGAUGCCAUGAUAUGAGCGGGGGAUAUCUUCAAUAUUCCCCGGAGAGAGCAGUGAUGUUCGUGAAGGCCACUGCUGUGUUGCACAACAUAUGCAGGAUUGCUAAUCUCCCGACCCUGAGGACGUCCCGGCCAUGGUUGAAGAUGAGGAGGAAGGCCAUGAUGGC